AUGCCUAAUCCUAGGGAAGUGGAUCGUGCUCUGUUUGUGGAAAAUGUGAGACUAAAGCAGUGUGGAGUUUCAGUUAAGUUUUCUCCUUGGUCUGAAGAUAUUGAAUCUGAGGGCCUGUUGGAAAUUGCUUGGGUUCGAAUUGGGAAGAUCCCUCCGAACAAGAGAUGUGAUAGGACGGUGGCCUAUGUGGGUGGAUUAGUGGGUAUUACUCUUGAGGUAGAUGUGUCUACUAUAAAUCGUUCUUUGUCUGUUAGAGCCAAAAUUGGAUGUCGCUCUGUUGAUUAG
rnacentral:rRNA from 1 species